UGCUCUGUCUAAACGGCACUGACGGCGGGGGUGGGGUUUGGGGGGUGGGUAGUCCAAAUGGAAACUUUUCACCUUCAAAAGCAGUAUCAGAGACCCCUUUUUCCACAGCAUGUUAAUUUCGGGGGUAUUUCUGUCUAUCUCCUGAAAGCGCACCCCCCGGGAAGUGCGACUGAGGAGCAACAGUGCUGUGUGUGCACUUCCUCGCCGUCAAGAUAACGCAGGGUGCGUGCGCGCGUGCGUGUGCGUGCGUGCAUGCGCGUGCAAUGCAUCACGCAGGUCAUUAAAAGCAGCAGUGUUGUUCAUUAAAGCACCCCCACCCAGCCCCCGGCGCACCCCUUCCCUCCCAACAACCCUUUGAUGAGACUUAAUGUUCCAUUAGACGAGUAUCACUCGGAUGCUACAUGAUAUGGAUGCUCAUUAGGGCUCAAAGAGCAGACGCUUCCCAGGCCUGGGAUUACAAAAUCGGUGGUGCGUCCUCUAGGAGGUACCUUUUUCCCACCAGGUGUGAU